rnacentral:tRNA from 1 species
GCCGGAGUGUCGGAACGGAAGACGAUGGCGUCUCAAAAGCGCCUGCCCGUAAGGGCGUGCGGGUUCGAAUCCCGCCUCCGGCACCA